rnacentral:lncRNA from 1 species
UUGGCUCAAUAAUUGACCUAGUUUUCUCCUCAUGGUGGACUCAGCUAACUAUCUUAUUGGUACUUCUAACCUAACGAUGGAUUGUUGUUAGGUCAUAAUUAGUUGUUAAAGUUGAGUAAACCUAUCAUCAGCUAGAUUGGUCUGUUGAGCAGGUGGGUAUGAUGGCUGAUUAUAAUAUGAUGGCUAAGUAGGCUGACCUCUAU